ensembl:lncRNA
GCGAGUUUCUCUGUGAAUUUCCCAUUACAGUCGUAGCGCACUCGCUGCUUGCUUGGAAGUUUAGGGGUUUUUUUCGCUGUAAAAAGAAGUUUUCUUCCCACGCACAACGGACACUAAUGUUUUUGUCACUUUUUAUGGAAUCAAACUCAAAGUAAGGUAUCAACAGGCAGCAUUUCUCAGUCAGAUCCACUCCUCGCUCCACACCUCCACACCCUGAACAGCUUCUACACCAGGAUGUUGGUGGGUUUUCUCCCACAAACCGUUGGCUUCAGGCCGUUUUACAGCAUUUCUGUUGGAUUCAGGAACCAAGACGCCAGGAGAGGAACUGAGGUCUGAGAGGACCUGGGGAGACUUCAGCCGUGAACCAUGAUGUGAAUGUGCUGCGGUGAGUCUUUGUCAGUGUGUGUGGUUGUGGCAAUGAAGGAGCACGUCAGGCCCGCAGCAGCUCUCUGAUGUUCUUGAAUAGUUUGUGUCGUGAUCAUCAGUGAUGUCCAGCUCCCGCCAACUCUUCAUGCAGAUGUGAUGAAUUCAGAGCCACAAAAACAUUUCCAACAUUUACUGUGGAGCAGACAAAAAGCUUCCCGGGGAGGCUGGCGAAUAUUCAGGUCAGCGUUCAGUGACGAGGUGAAUCCAGCUUCAGCGAAGACGAGCGAGGAGCGCUCUGACUGCAGGUGGCUGGCUUCCUGUGUGGUUCUCCUGGUGUGGGAAAUUUGUCUGUAACCUCAGUGGACCAAAUGCCUGCCGCGCCCUCGCUGAGGGUUUCCCACAGAAGCAGCAUCGUGUGGAGGAAGCCUGUUUACACUCACAUUUACACACCAGGUGAUGGAUUCAGCAGC